CCUUCGAUAGCUCAGUUGGUAGAGCGGAGGACUGUAGCGGUAAAACCUCAGACAUCCUUAGGUCGCUGGUUCAAAUCCGGCUCGAAGGA
rnacentral:tRNA from 1 species